GCCGUAUGCUUGUUUCAAAGAUUAAGCCAUGCAAACCUGAGAGCAAAUGAAUCCAACAGUAGGUCCGUGAACGGCUCAUUAAAUCAGCGAUUAUCUACCCAGUUCUGCGGGGCUUGCCCCGUCAGACGGAUACCGACAUUAACUAUGUCGCUAAUACGUGUAAGAAAACUGCUCUCUCAUCCAACACACUGCCCACUGAUAUAAUCAUAUGCUUCUUAUCUGGCCCUCCUGUAGUGUUCAUUACGGUGUUGCUUCUUCUGGCUCUCUUUAUAUGAUGCCCUCUCUGUGUUUUUGAGGUGUCAAUAGCUGGUUCCUUCUGCUUACCUUCAUUGGUUGGUGGUUGGGCUUGGUUGUUGGUACUUUCUGAAUAUGGAGUUGUGGUUCUCAUAUAUCAAGAGUGGUCGGUUUGAGGUAUCAUUUGUGUGGAUACAUUCAAAUAUGGGAUUGUUCAGUAAGAACGUGUUAUGUUUGUAUUGGAAUUUGGGUGGUGUGGAGGGAGCAGUCGGUUGACCGAUAGCAAAACCAACGCCACCAGUUCCAACCAAGCUUCGGCGAGGAGGACUGGUUACAAUGGCAGUGAAACGUGCUUUCUACGCACUCUAACGAUGAACCAGGUCAACCACGAUAAAGCGCAUCAGGCCCCUGUGCCUGGCGCGGAACUGGACGAAUUUCUGCCUUAUCAGCUAUGAUGACAGUGCAGUGAACUGUCAUGGCAAUCACGAGUACGGGGAAUUAGGGUUCGACUCCGGAGAGGGCGCCUGAGAAACGGCGACCAGAUCUAAGGAUUGCAGCAGGACGCAAAUUGCCCAAUGGCAGUACGUUGUUGAGGCAGUGACGAGAAAUAACAACACCGGCAGAUUACAUAUCGGCCGGUGAUUGUAAUGGACGGUACCAAAAGCCACUGAUGAGUACCCACUGGAGGACAAGUCUGGUGCCAGCACCCGCGGUAAUUCCAGCUCCAGUAGCAUACACUAAUGUUGUUGCGGUUAAAAAGCUCGUAGUUGGAUUCGGAGCUGUGGAUUGCAGGUUUGGUUGCACGCGGAUCCCCGCAAGGAGUUCUGUCGCGCAACCUCCUGCACUCGAUCCUGGCUCUACACACACGGGACCGGUUGCCCCGUCCGCUGCUAGGCCUUCGGGUCUACAGUAGACAUCUUAACGGGCCGUCCGUGGGUGUUACUGUGAACAAAACAGCGUGUUCAAAACAAGCGGGGCUUGCCUCUUGCUUGAAUGAUCUAGCAUGGAAUAACAGGGGAGUGACCUCUUGGUUGCCUCUUCCGUUUGUUGGUUUUGACAGCCGAACAGGGUAACGUAAGACCGGCGUGCCGUGCGGUUGGAUUUUGGUCCUAUUAGUGUAUAUAUUGAAUUGUAUACCUUCUGUGUUAUCUGUACCUCUUUAUUGGGUUCUGGUAUCCUGUGUUGUGUGUUCUGUUCUUAUAUGGCUUAUAACUGUGUUAUAUCCAAAUUGCAUUGGGAUUCGCUCCUUCUGUAAGAUGGGUACGCAUGGCUUGAGUUCGUAUAUUACAGAUACAUAUGGCAUUGGAGAAGGGAUCUAUUAUAAUGAAGGGGAUUGCAGUAGUGCAGUUGUGUGUUACAAGACGGUAUAUCAUGAACAGCUAAUAUUCCAGCCGUGCGGCCCCUGUCUCCAUCCAGGAUAAAUCGGGGCACACGGUGAGAUACGUAUUGUGGCGCUAGUGGUGAAAUACUUAGACCGUCACAAGACGAACAUCUGCGAAAGCAUUUCUCAAGCAUGCCUUCUUCAAUCAAGAGCGAUAGCAUGGGGAUCUAAGAUGAUCAGAUACCGUUGUAGUCCAUGCUGUAAACGCUGCCAGCGAGGCUUCGGACGUCAGAUUUGGCAUCCCGACUCGUCCGGCGCCUACCCCCAUAACGAGAAAUCCGAGCCUGGGUUCCGGGGGGAGUACGUCCGCAAGGCCGAAACUUAAAGGAAUUGACGGAAUGGCACCACAAGGCGUGGAGUGUGCGGCUUAAUUUGACUCAACACGGGAAACCUCGCCAGGUCCGGACUCACUGAGGAUUGACAGAUUGAGAGCUCUUUCUUGAUCGUGAGGGUGGUGGUGCAUGGCCGUGCUGGGUUGGUGGAGUGAUUUGUCUGCUUAAUUGCGAUAACGAACGAGAUCACAACCUCUCACUCGGGCUCUGCUUCGCACUUAUGUAGGGGUGGUCCUGUUGUUCGCUUUCCGAUUCGUCGGGGGAGGGCACUGGUCCAAUUUUACGCCCCGAGAGGCAGGGACUCCAAGCCUUAGAGGGACUGGCGGUGCCCCCUCAACCCCCGGAAGAAUGUGCCUUUCACAGGUCUGUGAUGCUCCGCAAUGUACUGGACUGCACGCGCACUACACUGGCAUGGUCAACGAGCGACCGACCGCAUUCUUGCGGUUCCUAAUUGGAAGCGAUUUGGAAAUCUUAGCAAACCGUGUCGUGAUCGGGGAUAGGUGAUUGCAAUUAUUCGUCCUGAACGAGGAAUGCCCAGUAAGGGUGAGUCAUCAGCUCACCCUGAUUGCGUCCCUGGCAUUUGUACACACCGCCCGUCGUUGUCAUCGACUGGCUGGAUAACAGAGGUCUUGGGAGACUACGGUUAGAAGUUCGCUUCUCUCCGUCCCGCAAGGGGUUGGUCAAACUUGCCCAAUGUUGUUCAGCUGAAGAUGAUAAAAGUCGUAACAAGGUUACU
rnacentral:rRNA from 1 species